rnacentral:tRNA from 1 species
GCGGGAAUAGCUCAGUUGGUAGAGCGCAACCUUGCCAAGGUUGAGGUCGCGGGUUCGAGUCCCGUUUCCCGCU